rnacentral:rRNA from 1 species
UGGGGAAUAUUGCACAAUGGAGGGAACUCUGAUGCAGCGACGCCGCGUGAGUGAUGAAGGACUUCGUUUCGUAAAACUCUGUUCUAUGGGAAGAAAAGGACUGUACCAUAGGAGAAAGCUCCGGCUAAAUACGUGCCAGCAGCCGCGGUAAUACGUAUGGAGCGAGCGUUGUCCGGAAUUAUUGGGCGUAAAGGGUGCGCAGGCGGCUUUACAAGUUGGAUGUGAAAUAUUGUGGCUCAACCACAAACGUGCAUCCAAAACUGCAAAGCUUGAGUUAAGGAGAGGUAAGUGGAAUUCCUGGUGUAGCGGUGGAAUGCGUAGAUAUCAGGAGGAAUACCGGUGGCGAAGGCGACUUACUGGACUUAAACUGACGCACAGGCACGAAAGCGUGGGGAGCAAACAGG